rnacentral:rRNA from 1 species
UACGUAGGUGACAAGCGUUGUCCGGAUUUAUUGGGCGUAAAGAGCGUGUAGGCGGCUUGGUAGGUCCGCUGUGAAAACUCGAGGCUCAACCUCGAGAUGUCGGCGGAAACCACUUGGCUAGAGUCCGGAAGAGGAGAGUGGAAUUCCUGGUGUAGCGGUGAAAUGCGCAGAUAUCAGGAAGAACACCCGUGGCGAAGGCGGCUCUCUGGGACGGUACUGACGCUGAGACGCGAAAGCGUGGGGAGCGAACAGG